rnacentral:lncRNA from 1 species
CAGAAACACUAUGAAGUCAGAAUGAUCAUUUUGCCCAACAGACAGGAAACAAGAGCCCAGAGGUUAAGCCACACAGUCAAGGUCUACAUCAGUGCUGCCUCUCUUGCUACCAAGAAAGCAGAUUAUGAAUCAAAUACAGCAGUUUGCUGAUCCACUUAGAGGCAACAAAAUGCCAAGGGCCAGGACUAAUCAAUAAUGUCUUCCCAGAGUUUCCUUUGCAAUCUUUAAGAGCACCACUUACUAAACUGUUCCUGAAAGCCCCUGAGGCACCAGCAUUGUAUCACCCAAAAGGAGACAGAGCAGAAGUCUGCAAGUAGAUAAAUGGACCAAAUUAGACCACCUGGAGAUGGUUUGCCAGACAGAGCAUUAGGGUCUGACCACUGGUGAUUCUUGGAAAGAAACUAUGCCAACUAGAAGGAGUUAAUUUUACAUGUGGAUAGUUGAUCUUCUUGGUAGAGACCUACAACUAAAAUGAGACAGAGACUAAAAGGCCCUCAGAUCACAUGUUGGGCUGCCAUUAGCAAAGUUGACAUUCUACUCUGCAUCCUUCCAUGCAGAGACUUGGAGAGACCAAGUUUUGUCCAUACAGAAGAUGAGGUGUACAGAGCUGGAAAGACGGAGAUGAGGAGGAAAGAGGCAAAGAAAGGAAGGCCACUGUCUAAACAGUUUCAUCUCCAAUAAGCUAUCUGACAACUGACAGGAGCUUACAGGUGGGAGGACAACAUAGUCCAUGACCUCUUCACAAGGGAGGCUAUCCCAUUCCUGCAACACCUU